UAAACUCAGAUCAUGUAAAAUUUUAAAGGUCGAACAGACCUAACCUAUGAGCUUCUACACCCACAAUAAAUUUUAAUCCAACAUCGAGGUCGCAAACUAUUUUUUUGAUAAGAACUCUAAAAACAAUUACGCUGUUAUCCCUAAGGUAAUUUAAUCUUUUGAUCUAAAAACUAGGAUCAUCCACCUACAAAUAAAUAUUUAAAUUAAAAAAAAGUUUAUCUAAUUUUCCUAUCACCCCAACAAAAUACAUUACAAUUAACCUUAAAAUUCAAUACCUAUAACUAAUGUUCAUUAAAUAUAUAAAACUCUAUAGGGUCUUCUCGUCUUCUAUUGAUAUUUAAGCUUUUUAACUUAAAAAUAAAAUACUACCUUAAUAUUUAAGAGACAGCUCUCUUUUCAUCCAACCUUUCAUUCCAGCUUUCAAUUAAAAAACUAUUGAUUAUGCUACCUUUGCACGGUCAAAAUACCGCGGCCCUUUAAACCUCAGUGGGCAGGUCAGACCUGAAAUUAUAAUCAACAAGCC
rnacentral:rRNA from 1 species